AUGGCAGCGGUAUGCAGAGACCAGCGCGGCGCCUACUUGGGAUCAUCUUCGGUGGCUUUCCCAGGUGUUCUUGAUCCGGUUAUGCUAGAGGUAUUCGCUUGUAGAGAAGCACUGGCACUUGCUGAAGACCUCAAUCUUCAGAAAUUCGUCAUUGCAUCGGACUGUCAAGAGGUGAUCAACGACAUCAACAGAAGGACGGGGGGUCCCCAUGCAGCUAUAGUACAUGAAAUCAUAGGUAGGAAGUCGAGUUUUCAGUUUAGCUCUUUUAUUCAUGAGCGUAGAAACUAUAAUUUCGAGGCUCACAAACUUGCCAAGUUUGCUUGUAAUUUAGAUCGGGGUAGACAUGUGUGGUUGGGCACUCCUCAUAACCCGACUAUUGUACCGAUGAACAUCGUUAUGGAAUAA
rnacentral:rRNA from 1 species